GCGAACGCUGGCGGCAGGCUUAACACAUGCAAGUCGAACGGGCACUUCGGUGCUAGUGGCAGACGGGUGAGUAACACGUGGGAACGUACCUUUCGGUUCGGAAUAAUCCAGGGCAACUUGGACUAAUACCGGAUACGCCCUUCGGGGGAAAGAUUCAUCGCCGAUAGAUCGGCCCGCGUCUGAUUAGCUAGUUGGUGAGGUAAUGGCUCACCAAGGCGACGAUCAGUAGCUGGUCUGAGAGGAUGAUCAGCCACAUUGGGACUGAGACACGGCCCAAACUCCUACGGGAGGCAGCAGUGGGGAAUAUUGGACAAUGGGCGCAAGCCUGAUCCAGCCAUGCCGCGUGAGUGAUGAAGGCCUUAGGGUUGUAAAGCUCUUUUGUCCGGGAAGAUAAUGACUGUACCGGAAGAAUAAGCCCCGGCUAACUUCGUG
rnacentral:rRNA from 1 species